GAUGAACGCUGGCGGCGUGCUUAACACAUGCAAGUCGAACGAAGCAUUUAAGACAGAUUCCUUCGGUUUGAAGUCUUUUAUGACUGAGUGGCGGACGGGUGAGUAACGCGUGGGUAACCUGCCUCAUACAGGGGGAUAGCAGCUGGAAACGGCUGGUAAUACCGCAUAAGCGCACAGUACCACAUGGUACAGUGUGAAAAACUCCGGUGGUAUGAGAUGGACCCGCGUCUGAUUAGCUAGUUGGCGGGGUAACGGCCCACCAAGGCGACGAUCAGUAGCCGACCGGAGAGGGUGACCGGCCACAUUGGGACUGAGACACGGCCCAGACUCCUACGGGAGGCAGCAGUGGGGAAUAUUGCACAAUGGAGGAAACUCUGAUGCAGCGACGCCGCGUGAGUGAAGAAGUAGUUCGCUAUGUAAAGCUCUAUCAGCAGGGAAGAUAGUGACGGUACCUGACGAAGAAGCUCCGGCUAAAUACGUG
rnacentral:rRNA from 1 species